GCCCCGACCACGGACACUGCUUUUUUUAUUAUUUUCCCCGAAGUUAUUAAGGCCUGCGAAAAAAACUUCGUGCGCACACCCUAUUUAUACGUAUUAGUUAUUCCUUUUAUAUUUAGAAUUGCUACACAUCGUGUGGGUACCGAUUGUACGCAACCCUAGCAUAGCAUAAUGUACGUUCAAUUUUGAACGAAAAUGCUGAAUGCAAACUUCCGACGACGCUAUUAUGACCGUACGUCGCUGAGCUUGCUCUACCGAGUGUUUUCAUGGCGACCAUGUUCAGGAACAAAUCUGGAUCGAAAUUAAUACACAUUUCUUUUUUUAAAAAGCGAGUUUGCUCCUUAACAAACCACAUAAAAACACUCUAAUCCUGGCGGUCUUUUCAUUAGAAAUAAUGCCGUAUUUACACUUAAUGCGCUUGUAAAUUGUCGUUACAACUUGAAUCUAAGGGACCGGUCAUUAUUUAUGGCGGGGGGUGGCACCGAAGAGAAAAGGGUUGGGUAAACUAAAUUUUGAGUAAGUAAAAGGUUGGGUAAAUGAAAAACAAAACAACUCAAGGGUUGGGUAAUAAAAAGUUAUAGUCAUAUGUCAAUACAAUAUGUGAAUCAGUCAGUCACUGUCUUGAUCAUUUUCCAAUUUGUUAGAAGACAAAUGGUGUCUCCAAAGAAAGCACAUGUGCACACAACAUGAUACAUUAGACUGCAGCAAAUUUCACAAGCAGUUAUCAAACUCCUCAGUGUCACAGAAAUUGGGUAAAGGACAUAUCUGACAACUGAAUGGUAAUCUUUUGUAAAGUUUAAUUUUGGCCAGGGGUGGGUAUUUAUUUUUUACUUGAUAUUUGAGGUUGGGUAAUCAAAUU
rnacentral:lncRNA from 1 species